rnacentral:lncRNA from 14 species
GGAAGGUUCAGCUGCAGAACCUCCCUGCCCUGUGAGCUGCAGAAGGAUCAUCUCAGGGUCCUGGGGAAUGACCGUAAGUUUAAAUAUUCACAUCUCUAAGGAUACUCACUCUUCAUGAACGUAGUGGCACAUUACAUUAAGGACCAAGUCAAAAUAAUCCAGGAGAGACAAGGGUAUCCAAUGAAUAAGAAAUUGUGCUUCAAAGAGAGAGGAAGGAACUAAUGUCUUUUGUCUAAAGGAAGAAAUGAAGACAGUUAUUCGCCCAGAUGACAUCUCUAGCACAUGAGGUUAUUGUAAUAUAAAUUGCUAAAGAUCUAUAGGUUGUGUGUGCUCCAAGAUAAAGAGCUGUGUCUCCCCUUCCUACUCAUCUUGUAGUAGCCAC